rnacentral:lncRNA from 1 species
CCCCGCCGCUGCCCGAGGCUGCCGCGCGCUGCCCCAGCCCGCGCCGCCCUGGCCGCGCCCGCCCCGUCCCAUCUCGUUCCAGCGGGGCGCCGCGGUUCCUGGGUCAGCGGCCGCCGGGGCCCGGCUGAGAGGUGCGGAGGGCAGAGCCCGCUGGCGGGUUACCGCCGGGCACCGGAGACCGGAGGGCUGGGGAAAGCGGCGCCGGCCCUGCGCCCCCAGCCGACCCGGGCGCGGGGCGCCACGGGCGUGGGGCGCGGGGCAGCGGGCGCGGGGCGGCGCCGGCCCCGGGCGGCUCUCCCACUAGGGGUAGCUGUUGCCUGAACGCCGGAGCGCUCCCCUCUCGCCGCUUGCCUCGCCCAGCGCAGCCCCGGCCGCUGGGCGCACCCGUCCCGUUCGUCCCCGGACGUUGCUCUCUACCCCGGGAACGUCGAGACUGGAGCGCCCGAACUGAGCCACCUUCGCGGACCCCGAGCGCGGCGGCGCGACUCACCGCGGAGGCGCCCGGACGCGUCAAGGCAAAGCCUGAACCAGGCCAGGAGGGUCUGUCCCCCGUCUGGGGAGCUGAACUGCCCGGGACACUGUAG